GAAAAUAGUAAUAAACACACAAUCUUUGUGGACGGAGGGAAUAUUAAACAACCGGCUUCCCCAAAAACAUAUACAUAAUAGAAUGAAUAUUGAAACUGAACCUAAUUGCAAGCACGCACAUAUACACAGCAAUACUACAACACACUUGAAACAAAACAAGCAACUCAAAUCCACAUCAUAUUCAACUUCCAUCACCUGCAAUUCGUACAGCAGCAGGGAACAAAAAGCAACUUGUUGCGAUGAUGAUUCGUAGUUAAGCUCUAGAGGGAGUAUAAAUGAAGAUAGGCUAUACGACACGACACGACACAUACCUAUAUAUACAUUCCCUAUCAUUUAUACUCACGAUCUUCUACCGCGUGCAAAAGAUGAGAGUUGCAUGCAUGACAGAAUCUCCAUUGGUGAUACUUUGCCUCUCAUUUUCUUUUUCA
rnacentral:lncRNA from 1 species